CCCCACCUUCUAAAAAUAAAUAAAUAAAAUCUUUAAAAAAGAAAGAAAGAAAUGAGGCUUAGGUAGGAUUGUUUUUCAUAGGAAUCAGAAAAGCCUCUUUGCCCUCAGUGUUCGCAUUAGUUUGGGACAGUGGUCAGAGACUGCAAGCAGGACAGUAGCCUAGGAUCAAUGAAAGAACAAAGGGAAGUAAAUGAGGAAGGAGGAAAGAAAACUAAGGUAGUAAGUGUUAAAUAUUUAUUACUUUGGGCUCUGGAAUCAGACUACCUGGUUGUGAUCCCAGCUCUGGCUUUGUCAUUUACUAGAUAUGUGACCUAAGGCCAAAUAUAUAUCUUCUGUGUGUCUCAGUUUCUUAACUUGUAAAAUGGGGAUAAUAAUUGAACCUGCUUCAUAGAGUUGGUAUGAGGAUUGAAUAAAUUAAUCAGUGACAGGUGAUAAAUGCAUAGUAAACACAUGUGUAUCAUCACCACCAUCACAAAUAGUCCUGACAGUCCUGCAUGUGUACUGUCUUUCCCUGGCUCCCCCCUUCACCCUCUGUUGGAAAUAAGCAUUUCAGCCUUUCUCUGUCUCCCUCUAAUAAUUCCACCUCCUCCUUCACAGAGUCAACAGUAGCUAUCAUAAGAACUACCUCUCUUUUCUACCAGGAAACGUUCUCUCUUCCUUCCUGCACUUUGGGUUCUCAGCUCCUGCCUUCUCAGGAACUUUUUACUCAUCUCUUUUUUCUCAAAUAUUACACUUAUCUUCUUCCUCUUCUGUGGAACCCUUCCACUGGCAUAUAAACAGGCUCAAAUCUUAGGUUUAAAAAAAUAAAAUGAAACUUCCUCAAUCCCACCUCUCCCUGAAACUGCCUUUCUUCAUCUACCUCUGUUCCCUCCCUCAUUGUCUUUUCCCAGUCCCUACUCCAAAGGUGUUUCUAGACUCCAAGUGUACAUUUCCUCCCCACCAUUCACUGUUAAGGCAAGCCAAUUGAAUUUCUGCUUCCGGAGUUCUACUGACAUGGACCAUUCGUGAUUUCCAUAUUGUUAACUAAAUUGACAUUUUCAGUCUUCAUCUUGACACUUGUCACAUUAUUGAGUACUUCCUGUUGUUUGAAAUACUCUUCUCUUAGCAUCUAUGGCAAUACCUUUUUUGCUUUCUUCACAUCUCUUUGUCCUUUAAAGGCUCAUGUUCCUUUAUGUAGGCAUUAAUUAUAGGCAUUCCUUAAGGCUUGUUUGUCUUUUCUGUGUACUGUCUCUCCCUAACACCAUCUCAUUUGUGCUUAGGACUUCAGUUACUACCUAUUGGCUCUCAAAUUCAUUUCUCCAACCCUGAACUCCAAACUUCCAAAUCUGUGUGCCUACUCUGCAUCUCCACUUAGAUGUCUCAACAGCACUUCAAAUCCAACAUAUGUAAAGCAUAAUAAAUUAUUUUUUCCUGCACUCUUCUUACCACAUCAUCUCUUUCAGAAACCCUUAUUCUCCUUAAGUUAUUAUGUGUCUUUGUGAUUUACACCAUCAUUAUUCAGUUGUGUAAGCUAAGGAACAUAGGGGUAAUUCUUGACAUCAGACCUAUUCCUCUACUCACCACAUCCAGUCUAUUACCAGGUCCUUCAGAUUACCUGUCUCUACUCCUUUUAUCUCCAUUGAUUCCCUAGUGCAGAGUACCAUCAUCUCACACUUACAUUAAUGCAUUAGCCUCCAAACUGAUUCCUGUUUCCUAUUUACUUAGACUAUUUACAAAUUGACUUAAAAAAUCUAUUUACAUGCAUCUUAUCUCAUUAAUGUACUCAUAUUAGUUAUGUGGGGGCAAGAGUGCUAUCUGAGAAUUACACUAAAAUUCAAAAUUAGCAAGAUUAUUUUAUUAUCUUUUUGUUCUACUUUCUGCACUAGGAUCCUCUGGUGUAUUAGGACAAGCCAUGCUUCCUACCACCUCAGGUUCUUUACAUAUCUUUUUUUUUAAGAUUUUAUUUAUUUACUUUUAGAGAGAGUGGAAGGGAGGGAGAAAGAGGGAAACAUCAAAGUUUGGUAGCCUUUCACACACACCCUACUGGGGACCUGACCCACAACCCUUUGGUUCCCAGGCCAGUGCUCAGUACACUGAGCCACCACCAUCCAGUGCUGCAUAUGAUCUUCUGUUUACCUAAAACCUUCACCGUCUACCCCUGUCCCUUUUCCUAAAACCCCUAUUUAUUCUUCAGCUCUCAGUUCAAAUAACACUUCAUAAGAGAGCUGUCCCCAAACUCCUAGACCAUGACUCUUUCUGUUAUAUGUUGUUAUAGCACCUUGUACUCUUCUUUCAGAGCACUUGUCAGAGUAAAUAACUUUAUUGUUAUUUUUCUUAUUAUGAAUAGUGUCCCUGACUGUCAGUUCCAAGAGUACAUAGAACAGUGUCUGGUUUUGCUGGCACUGUAUUCCUUAGCACAUAA